CAGCCGCCGCGGGAAUACAGAGGGUGCGAGCGUUAAUCGGAUUUACUGGGCGUAAAGCGCGCGUAGGUGGUUUGGUAAGAUGGAUGUGAAAUCCCCGGGCUCAACCUGGGAACUGCAUCCAUAACUGCCUGACUAGAGUACGGUAGAGGGUGGUGGAAUUUCCUGUGUAGCGGUGAAAUGCGUAGAUAUAGGAAGGAACACCAGUGGCGAAGGCGACCACCUGGACUGAUACUGACACUGAGGUGCGAAAGCGUGGGGAGCAAACAGGAUUAGAGACCCCUGUAGUCCCUGUCUCUUAUAC
rnacentral:rRNA from 1 species